UUGAGUGCAUUACAGUGUAAUUUACUGUUUUGUUAAAUAAUAUUAAUCUGAAUGCAAAAAGACUGAAAUUUUGUAAUCAAAAGAUCCCACUAAAAAUAUAAUUCAGUUGCAACCACCAAUAUCUCUACAGCAUCAAAAAAGAAAUACUUGAUCGAAAAUGUUUAUUCCACUACGAACAGUGAUACCUGGAUACAUCAGACUACUGCAGAUUCGAUCUGCCAGCAAAGUGACACUGAACAAUACAGACACAUUGAUGCAUGGCACAGCUCUAUUUCUUGGCGUGUUAGGUUUCAGCAUGUCCUACUACAGUACACGACAAAUGCAACUUCAGCAGAAAUCAUUAACUAACUUUAAAACAGGCGCCUGAUAAGAAGUGGAUACAGAAUUUUCACAGUCAGGCCAUGAAAGUGAGAUUGUAUUUGAUGGUAAAUGUUGUCAGAUCACCUCCUGGACUACGCCUGCUGUCUUAAAGUUUUAAAAACCAAUUAGCUUUGCUGCCAUUACAAUUGCACUAAUGAUUUGUCCUGGUAAAGGCAAUCGGCCUUUAGCUAACGCAGACUGUUAAAUUCUGAAACUUUGUGCGCAGAAAUUUGAAUCUGAAGCUAAGUCUAAACCUUAUUAUAAUCAAUUCUGCAAAAUGGAGACAAUACAGCAGCGCUAUCAUUCACCAUGAUGGCUGUAUGCAGAAAUAUAUACAAAAUGAUUCCAUUUAACGAGCCACAAAAUUUUGCAGAAAUGAAAAAAGAACCGAUUUUAUCAUCAGCUUCUGAAAAAGUGGCAGACAUGGUGGGCCAAAUGCACCAUAAGAAUGGAAGGAGCAGAUAUAGGCCAUUUGGCCCUCUAUGCCUACUCUGUCAUUCAGUAAGAUAAUGGCUGAUUUUCUACCUCAACUCCACCUUACUGCACAACAUUCCUAUUGCUUGAUUGUCAACACAUCUAAAAAUCCAUAGAUCUCUGACUUGAAUGUACUUGAUGAUUGAGCAUUUACACCCCUCCAGUUCAGAGGAUUCCAAAUAUUCCCAGUCCUUUGAGUGAAGAAAUUCCUCCUCAUCUCAAUCCUUAAUGGCUAAAUCUUCCUAGUGGGGCUGCGAUCCCUGGGUCUGGACUCUACAGGCUGGAAAAAUAGCCUCUCUAGUAGCAAUCCCGUCACGUCUCUUUAGAACUAUAUAUCUUUCAAUGAGAUCACUUCUUAUUCAUUUAAAUUUCAGGCAAUAGGCUUAGUCCUCUGAAUUUCUCCUCAUAGGAGAAUCCCUGCAUUCCAAAAAUCAGUCUACUGAUCCUUUAUUACCUUCCUUUGAAGAGAAGUGUAUCCUUCCUUUGGUAUGGAAACCAAAAUUGUUCUCAGUACUGCACGUGUGGUUUCCCCAAGGUCCUAUAUAAUUGCAGCAAGGCUUCUUUGUUCUUAUACUCCAAAGCCCAUGUAAGAAAGGUUUAUAUUCCACUUGUUUUCCCCUAAUUUCGUACUGUACCUUGCUUGUUAACUUCCUGAGAAUUGUGUGUAUGAGAAUACCCUUUGAAAACCAACAUCUCCAAACUCUUGCCAUUUAAUAAAUAUUUUAUUUUUCUAUUUUUGUUACCAAAAUGAAUAAAUACAUCUGGCUCCAAAUUAUGUCCAAGUGUCACAAUUUUACUUACUCACCCAUCCAUGUCCCUUUGUAGCUGAUUUGCAACCUCCUCAGACCUUACUUUCCCAUCUAACUUUGUAUCAUCAGCAAGCUUGAACACAUAACAAAUUGUUGAUGUAAAUUAUAAAUAACUGAGCCCCAAUAACCGAUCCUUGCAGUACCACAAUGCAGUUUGUUAAAGUAAAUUGUGCCAUUUAUUCAGAUUGUUUGGUUUCUGCCUGUUAGCCAAUCUUCAAUGCAUGCAAACAUAUUGUCUACGAUCCCACAAGUCAUGCUUUCUCUCCCCCUUCUUGAAUAACAGGCUUGUUUUUGUUAUUUCCUAUCCCUAGAGAUGAUUCAAAAAGCUAAGAGAUCAAAAUGCAACUUCUAAUUUUGUAGCCAUCUCCUAUGACAUAUGCCAUCAAGUUCAGGAGAUUUGUCAGCUCGUAGCUUCAUUAAUUUCCCCAGUACAUUAUCUGUACUAAUACUUUUUUUUAAAAGUUCCUCAAUCUCACUAAACACUUGGUUCCUCAUUAUUUCUAUAAUGCUGUUUGUGUCUUCUAACAUGAAGGAUACAAAGGAUUUGUUUAUUGCUUCUGCUAUUUAUUUAUUCCACUUGCAAUUUACCUGUCUGCCUAUAAGAAAGAUGUUUACUGUUGUUAAUCUCUUUUCUUCCAUUAAUGUUUUUACAUAUCUACAGAAACUUUUCCAAUUUAUUUCUAUGUCUGUUCCUAGUUUACUUCCAUCUUCUAACAUCUCUCUAUAUCCUUUUUGUUCAACGUUUUCUGAAAUUUAAGAUCAUCCUCAAUCUCACAUUUGAUAUUCUUUAGGAACACUAGAAGCUUUUACUUUUACUCUAAUAGUAUCCGUAAAAAUCUUAAUAGCCAACAUUGGACCACUUUUCAUGCCGGGUUUUUAUUUCUUAAGAAUUGUUCUGUGUAUUGUGAGUAAUAAUUUUUAAAAUACUUGACAUUGCAUAUCUACCCCUUACUUUACUUAUCUUUACAAAGAUAUCAUCAGAAAAAAUAUGCAUUGCCAGUAUUCAACUGUAACAAGUAAUAAUUUCAUUAGCUUUUGUGAAUAAGUAACGGUACUGACUUAAUCUGUGGUUUUGAAGGAUCAUGGUAUCUUUGUCUGCUCAAAAUACCAUUCAUUUCAUUAUCUGACAAUCAUUGCAUGAUUGUAUUUUCCCAAAUGAAAUAUUUUAAAUAUGAAUAGAAACACAGCAAUAUAAUGCUAUGCAAUGAUAUAUUUGACAAUUUAAGGAAUAACAUUUAUUUUGCUGUAUAAAGGCCAUUAACGACUGCAAAUCAUGAAAUACUUAACCAGACCAUAGCAGCAAAUAAGUGAAUUAUCAGAGCAAGAGAAAGAGGCAAAACUUAAUUGCUCAAGACAAAAAUAAAAAAUCACUUUUGCCUCAA